rnacentral:rRNA from 1 species
GAUGAACGCUAGCUACAGGCUUAACACAUGCAGGUCGAGGGGUAACGAGAGGAAAGCUUGCUUUCCUUGUCGACGACCGGCGCACGGGUGAGUAACGCGUAUCCAACCUGCCCCCAACUAGGGAAUAACCUUGCGAAAGUAAGACUAAUACCCUAUAAUUUCCUCAGAUGUCAUCUGACGAGGAAUAAAGAUUUAUCGGUUGUGGAUGGGGAUGCGUCUGAUUAGCUUGUUGGCGGGGUGACGGCCCACCAAGGCAACGAUCAGUAGGGGUUCUGAGAGGAAGGUCCCCCACAUUGGAACUGAGACACGGUCCAAACUCCUACGGGAGGCAGCAGUGAGGAAUAUUAGUCAAUGGGCGGAAGCCUGAACCAGCCAAGUAGCGUGCAGGAUGACGGCCCUAUGGGUUGUAAACUGCUUUUAUACAGGAAUAAAGUUAGCCACGUGUGGUUAUUUGUAGGUACUGUAUGAAUAAGGACCGGCUAAUUCCGUGUCAGCCGCCGCAGUAA